GUGCUCCCUUUAGCAGCACGUAUACUGAAAUUGGAACUAAAUAAAGAAGAUGAGCAUGGCCCUUGGCAAGGAAGACAUGCAAAUUCGUGAAGCAUUCCAUGUUUUC
ensembl:snRNA U6 U6 spliceosomal RNA